rnacentral:tRNA from 1 species
GAGGGUAUAGUUGAGUAGUAGAGUGCAUGCUUAGCAUGCUAGAGGUCCUGGGUUCAAUUCCUAGUACUUCCA